UACGGGGGGAGCAAGCGUUGUUCGGAUUUACUGGGCGUAAAGGGCGCGUAGGCGGCACUGCAAGUCAGUUGUGAAAUCUCCGGGCUUAACCCGGAAAGGUCAACUGAUACUGCAGGGCUAGAGUGCAGAAGGGGCAACUGGAAUUCUCGGUGUAGCGGUGAAAUGCGUAGAUAUCGGGAGGAACACCAGUGGCGAAGGCGACUACCUGGCCUGUUCUUGACGCUGAGGCGCGAAAGCUAGGGGAGCAAACGGG
rnacentral:rRNA from 1 species